rnacentral:rRNA from 1 species
UACGGAGGGUGCAAGCGUUAUCCGGAUUUACUGGGUUUAAAGGGUGCGCAGGCGGAUAUGUAAGUCAGUGGUGAAAUCUUCCCGCUUAACGGGAAAACUGCCAUUGAUACUAUAUAUCUUGAAUGCUGUGGAGGUAAGCAGAAUAUGUCAUGUAGCGGUGAAAUGCUUAGAUAUGACAUAGAACACCAAUUGCGCAGGCAGCUUACUACACAGUAAUUGACACUGAGGCACGAAAGCGUGGGGAUCAAACAGG